ensembl:lncRNA
GAAGAACCCUGUGGAAAACAGUUGGAGGAACACUUCUUUCAUCUCCGUCAUGGCUUACAUCAGCAGGAAGGAGUCCAGCAAAAAGGACAUCCCUGAAGAAUUGUGUCACACUGUGUCUUGGUCUUAUUCCUGAUAGAAGAAACCAUAAUACUGUAAAAUACAAUUAACUUGCUUUUGUAUAUUCAGAGAUGAUAGUCCCAGGAAGAAUGGUGAAGAAGCGGUAUCUUGUUUUAGCACUUGGACCUGAGAAAGCGUUACUUGUCCCAACACCUUAGUCACCCAGUGAGAUCUUACCAAACCUCUGGUUUUGCUUUACUCAAUUCCUGGACUCACUAUACAAAGGUUUUGAACGACAGCUUGAUUCAUUUCUUCAGGAAAGAGAUGUAUAUAAAGACACCCAGGAAUGACAAACUUGCAUUCUGUAAGAUCAGUCACUGAAAGACUGAGUGCAGAAAUGAUGGCUAGAAAAUUAAGGAGGGGGAUAAGGAAAGUUAAAGGAGUUGUGCAUGACAGGCAUUAACUUUUAAUCCACUGAGAAUGCUGAGUGUAUUUUUUGGAUCUGCAUUUCCUCAUCCAGGUAAUCAGGUAUAUAAUCCAGGUAAUAAACUUCACAAGUUAAUUUCUUGAAACACGGAAAGGUUUCCAAAAAGCAUUAUUAUCUGGAAAAGACAUUGUCUUUUUCAAAUUGCACAUUUGUGCUGCAUUACAACUAGUCUGAGAGAGCUUGUCUGGUAAGCACAUAAUUUUCUGUUACAUUGGGAAAAUAAUCAUUAUUUUAGAGCCUUUUCUCUACUAGUUCUGUUUCUGCAGUGCAGGAAGAUAGUUAUUGGCUUUUUCCAAUACACUGAUGGCAAAACAGGCUUUUCAAGAACAUGAAAUUAAUAGCUUUCUCAUUUCUCCCUGCUUGAAUACUACUAUAGAUUAUUGAGGACCUCAGCAGCAAAAUUUUUCUGGAAAGAAAAGGCUACACUAUACUUCAAAGGAAAAUGAAAUGCCUGAUUAAAAAAAUUACUGCGCUGACUUUCCUGCCUACUCUCCAACAAUGCAAUGUGCACACAGCACAUCAAAGAAGAAACUUGGAUGCAUUAUUAUAUACUAAAAGUGUACAUUCCCCUGGACCUUUUCAUGAAGGAAUGUUUAUACCUGUGGGCAGGCGCUAAUGGCAGUGAAAGGCUUGCAUUCAUGGGAACAGCAUUUAGCAAUUCAUGGUUGCCAAGGUAAGCAG